UACGUAGGUGGUGAGCGUUGUCCGGAAUUAUUGGGCGUAAAGGGCGCGUAGGCGGUUUUUUAAGUCAGAUGUGUAAUCCCCGAGCUCAACUUGGGAACUGUAUCUGAGACUGGAAGGCUAGAGUACUGGAGAGGGUGGUGGAAUUCCUCGUGUAGCGGUGAAAUGCGUAGAGAUGAGGAGGAACACCAGUGGCGAAGGCGGCCACCUGGACAGUAACUGACGCUGAGGCGCGAAAGUGUGGGUAGCAAACAGGAUUAGAUACCCCUGUAGU
rnacentral:rRNA from 1 species